rnacentral:tRNA from 1 species
GGAAUAGCUCAAGUGGUAGAGCACAUGCUUAGCAUGCAUGAGGUUCUGGGUUCAAUCCCCAGUGUGUCCA